AUUGAACGCUGGCGGCAGGCCUAACACAUGCAAGUCGAACGAGUGGCGGACGGGUGAGCAAUGUCUGGGAAACUGCCUGAUGGAGGGGGAUAACUACUGGAAACGGUAGCCAAUACCGCAUACCAUCGGAUGUGCCCAGAUGGGAUUAGCGAGGAGGUGGGGUAACGGUGCACCUAGGCGACGAUGCACAGCUGGUCCGAGAGGAUGACCAGCCACACGAGGACUGAGACACGGUCCAGAAUCCUACGGGAGGCAGCAGUGGGGAAUAUUGCGCAAUGGGCGCAAGCCUGAUGGAGCCAUGCCGCGUGUAUGAAGAAGGCCGUCGGGUUGUAAAGUACUUGCAGCGGGGAGGCGUUACCCGCAGAAGAAGCACCGGCUAACUCCGUGCGAGCGGCCGCGGUAAUAC
rnacentral:rRNA from 1 species